rnacentral:rRNA from 1 species
UGAACGCUGGCGGCGUGCCUAAUACAUGCAAGUCGAGCGAACAGACGAGGAGCUUGCUCCUCUGACGUUAGCGGCGGACGGGUGAGUAACACGUGGAUAACCUACCUAUAAGACUGGGAUAACUUCGGGAAACCGGAGCUAAUGCCGGAUAAUAUAUUGAACCGCAUGGUUCAAUAGUGAAAGACGGUUUUGCUGUCACUUAUAGAUGGAUCCGCGCCGCAUUAGCUAGUUGGUAAGGUAACGGCUUACCAAGGCAACGAUGCGUAGCCGACCUGAGAGGGUGAUCGGCCACACUGGAACUGAGACACGGUCCAGACUCCUACGGGAGGCAGCAGUAGGGAAUCUUCCGCAAUGGGCGAAAGCCUGACGGAGCAACGCCGCGUGAGUGAUGAAGGUCUUCGGAUCGUAAAACUCUGUUAUUAGGGAAGAACAAAUGUGUAAGUAACUAUGCACGUCUUGACGGUACCUAAUCAGAAAGCCACGUCUAACUACGUG